rnacentral:rRNA from 1 species
GUGUCAGCCGCCGCGGUAAUACGUAGGGGGCAAGCGUUGUCCGGAAUCAUUGGGCGUAAAGAGCGCGUAGGCGGUCGGCAUAGUCCGUUGUGAAAACCCAGGGCUUAACCUUGGGCCUGCAAUGGAUACUGGUCGACUAGAGUUCGGUAGAGGGAAUCGGAAUUCCUAGUGUAGCGGUGAAAUGCGCAGAUAUUAGGAAGAACACCGGUGGCGAAGGCGGAUUCCUGGGCCGAUACUGACGCUGAGGCGCGAAAGCUAGGGGAGCGAACAGGAUUAGAUACCCUGGUAGUCCUAGCCGUAAACGAUGGGCACUAGGUGUGGGGGGUUAUCGACUCCCUCCGUGCCGUAGCUAACGCAUUAAGUGCCCCGCCUGGGGAGUACGGCCGCAAGGCUAAA